CUUGACAUCAUCUAAUGAUACGCAGCGGAAUAUACAUUCAAGGAUUAGAUCUAGAUUUACAAAUGCAUCAUGUGUAGAGAUAGGCACACAACGAAAGGAAUAACUUACUCGUUGUGUGGUAAGCGUGCGUCUCGAUUCUUGCCGUGAAUCCACUACUAAGGUAUCCACGUGUAUGUCGAUUCGAUGCAGGAACGAUUCCAAGUGCACGAUUC
rnacentral:lncRNA from 1 species